rnacentral:lncRNA from 1 species
UGUCCUGGGCACAGGUGGCACAGCCAGGAUGUGUCCUGGGCACAGGGAUGGCCCCGGGGCAGGGCAGCCCCAGCCCCACCCUCGGCCCCUGCCAACACUGCCCCUGUCCCUGCUGUCCCCAUGGAUCCCAGAGGGAUCUCAGAGGGAUCAGGGGAGGGGAGCUGGGACACAGCAACACUAAGACACCCAGAGAACACUAAGGCAGCCCUGCAGGGCAGGAGCUGAGCCAUGCCUGGGGCUCGGAGCCAUCCCUGCCCAUCCUGGAGGGACAGCAGGGAUGUCCCCUCCCCAUCCUGGAGGGACAGUAGGGAUGUCCCCUGCCCGCCUGGCCCCUCCCCACAGAGCUCAACCCCGGGAUGGGGGCUGCUCCUUCUGCCCGUGGUUUUUUCCUGGGCCUCAGGCUCUUCCUGCUACAAACUCUCCCAAGCUGGUCACACCUGGAGGAUCAUCUGGAAGGGGAGGAACUGGGCCACAGCCCAGGCUGUCUCUGUGGUGGGGCAGAGGUCGUGGCUCCUCUGCCCAGGGCUCUGCCCAUUCCCCUUUCCCGGGAUUCCUCCCGUGGCUGGAGCUCACCUGGCCCUCAGGUGCCUUCCCUGCACCCCCACCCUGCCACAGCCACCCUCCCUGGGGGCCAGGCACCCCUCUGCCCCUGCAUUGCUGGGAGAAGGGAUGGUUCAUCUCGGUGGCACCUCUGCCAGCCCUUCUCCCUCAGCUGUGCUUUUCCUGGCUGGGAGGUGGGCAGGGGGUUGGCACGGGGCUGCACAAGUGGGUCCUUCCCCUCGUGGGGCUGGGCUGGGCCCUGCUGUGUGGCACAGCUGUGCAGGGCUGUGCUGCAGGUCCCUGUCCCUGCAGGGUCCCUGUCCCUGCUGCUCCCGUUCUCUGUAAGGAUUUGGUCCGUGCAUGUCCACGUGUGUCUGACCCCCAGGCAGUGACCCCGGCCCCGGGGGGCACAGGGCAGCCCCCCCUGCUCCCAGCAGGGCAGGGAGCCCAGGGGACCAGAGUCCUGGGGGCCCUUCCCACUGUCCCCUCCCCGGUGGGGGACACUGGCUCCCGCUCAGGUGGAUUGAAAUGCGUUCUGUCAGCUGGGACACCUCGCUAG